AUGACACCGGUCUGCAGAAUUGGUACUGCUCAGGUGAAUCUUGUGGCGGACCUCAUUGACCCCAGCAAUGGGUCGUGGCUGGUGGAUGUGGUGCGCGAGAACUUCAUACCACCAGAUGCCGAUGCUAUUCUCAACAUUCCAUUGAGGCAGGGAGGGGGUGAUGAUUCGUUGGCAUGGGCUUUUGAACGAUCGGGUUGCUACACUGUGAAAUCAGCGUAUCGUGCUCUAAUGACUCGCAACGAGCAUAUUGCUCUAGAGGAAGGGACGACUACCGAAUCUUCAAUGACAGAUAAACAGAUGUGGUCUCGUUUGUGGAAGCUCAAAGUCAUUCCCAGAGUGAGAGUCUUC
rnacentral:rRNA from 1 species